rnacentral:rRNA from 1 species
UACGUAGGGGCAAGCGUUGUCCGGAUUUAUUGGGCGUAAAGAGCGUGUAGGCGGCCACACAGGUCCGCUGUGAAAACUCGAGGCUCAACCUCGAGCUGUCGGUGGAAACCGUGUGGCUAGAGUCCGGAAGAGGAGAGUGGAAUUCCCGGUGUAGCGGUGAAAUGCGCAGAUAUCGGGAAGAACACCCGUGGCGAAGGCGGCUCUCUGGGACGGUACUGACGCUGAGACGCGAAAGCGUGGGGAGCGAACAGG